GAUGAACGCUAGCUACAGGCUUAACGCAUGCAAGUCGAGGGGAAACGACAUCGAAAGCUUGCUUUUGAUGGGCGUCGACCGGCGCACGGGUGAGUAACGCGUAUCCAACCUGCCCACCACUUGGGGAUAACCUUGCGAAAGUAAGACUAAUACCCAAUGAUAUCUCUAGAAGACAUCUGAAAGAGAUUAAAGAUUUAUCGGUGAAGGAUGGGGAUGCGUCGGAUUAGCUUGUUGGCGGGGUAACGGCCCACCAAGGCUACGAUCAGUAGGGGUUCUGAGAGGAAGGUCCCCCACAUUGGACCUGAGGCACGGUCCAAACUCCUACGGGAGGCAGCAGUGAGGAAUAUUGGUCAAUGGGCGAGAGCCUGAACCAGCCAAGUAGCGUGCAGGAUGACGGCCCUAUGGGUUGUAAACUGCUUUUAUAAGGGAAUAAAGUGAGCCUCGUGAGGCUUUUUGCAUGUACCUUAUGAAUAAGGACCGGCUAAUUCCGUGCCAGCCGCCGCGGUAA
rnacentral:rRNA from 1 species